GGGGGGGGGGGGGGGGGGGGGGGGGGGGGGGGGGGGGGGGGGUGGGGGGGGUCAGGUUGGUGGUGCGCUGGCGGGGGGCGGACGGGUGGGUAAUGGGUGGGGGAGGGGCUGGUGGGGGGGGAUAACGAGUGGGACGGGUAGGUAAUACGGGAUAGCGUGGCAGGCACACAGCGGGGGACGUGCGGGGCUCGUGGCCUCGGGUGAGGCCAGUUGGGAUUAGAUAGUAGCGGGGGUAACGGCUCAACUAGGAGAGGAGCCCUAGCUGGUCUGAGAGGAUGACCAGCCACACUGGAACUGAGACACGGUCCAGACUCCUACGGGAGGCAGCAGUGGGGAAGAUUGCACAAUGGUGGCAAGCCUGAUGCAGCCAUGCCGCGUGUAUGAAGAAGGCCUUCGGGUUGUAAAGUACUUUCAGCGGGGAGGAAGGGAGUAAAGUUAAUACCUUGGCUCAUUGACGUUACCCGCAGAAGAAGCACCGGCUAACUCCGUG
rnacentral:rRNA from 1 species